rnacentral:lncRNA from 1 species
ACGGGAGCGGGGCGUUCAGAGUUGGGCUGGAGUGUGACAACAGGCGCACGCCGGGUACCUGAGCGGCAUCCGGGCGCCAGGUGGGCCCUGUGGCUGGAGGGAUGCCGGCGGUGCACACUCCCGGGUGCCUUGACACGGUGCUCUGGCGUAAGCAGCCUGGGGAAACCGCAGCAAGAAUAACGAGACCUGCCGGCACGGGCCACGGCGAAGGAGCCCCUAACAAAGCAGCUUCGGGAGGGCCUGCUGGCCUCCGCCUCCUUCUCCAAUAGGUCCGUGAAGCUGCCUGUCACCAGACAUAGGUGGAGGUGGCCAAUGACGCGCACGAAUGAGCUAGAGUUGGCGCGCGCGCGGCUUGGCAGCGGUGGGAUUGGUCGGAGGUAAAGGAUUUUCCUGCCACCUAAGGCCUUGGAAGGCGGGGGGGCACCGAAUGGAGGAGGCGAAGAGCCAAAAACCUAGUACCUGCGACACGUGGUCUAGUUUGGGCGGCAUGUGGCUGACUCUAGGGAGAAACAGGAAUUUGCUUAGGUGAGAUAAAAUCUCAACGCGUCCCCUCUCUUAGGAGCCAGAUAAUAUCCGCCACCAAACAGACUUUAGGUAGGCAGAGUGGCCUUAGCCAAGUAUUGGAUAGUCCGGGACUCAUUGGGCUAAUGUCCAGCAAGUGAACUUGAGUUUCACGGUCGCCAGGGCAUUGUUCGUGACUGACGAGGUUCGCACAUGCCUCGGCUCUCUGUAAAAUCCUCGUAGUUGGUGCAGGUUGGCCUUUCUCAAGGUGGCGUGAGCCACAAAACAGCCUUAAAGCUAGUGACAAAACCGCUUCCCUAAUCCAGGCCAGAGCCUUCCCCUCGCUUUAGAGCUCUCCCAGCUUGGCCCAGGGAGUGGGAGGAGCAGACCUGCGGUUAUCUUGUAAACAGUGUACCUAGUGGCUUAUUGAGGCUGAAGUAGGAGGAUAUUGAAUUGAAGAUCAGCCUGAAACUGUUUCAAAAAGAAAAGAAAGUUAACACCUUUUCCUUCUGCACCCUCCUUCACCUCCCAAAUCCAUACUGCCUCUCACCUGAAUUUCAUUAAAGGCAUCCACCUUACUAAAAGAUUGUUCCAAACAGGAAGAUCUCAGUCUCUCAGCUCUGUUGUCUUCUCUUCCCCCAGUGUGUAUAGUCCCUCAGAGAUGGAAACAUUCCUUCUAGCAGGGAAUAUCCUUAAGUAGAAAGGAACACAACCCAAAAUAGCUUCAGGAAGUCCCUAAAACUGAGCAGAUUUGCUAGGUCCCUCCCUGCCAUACUAAGCAGUAAGAGCUGAGUCUCAAAUGAGCCAAGAUGCAGACUUAGAUGAGACCAGACCAGCCUCCUAGAAGAGGCAGAGACCAACUGAGUCACUUGGAAAGGACAGGCUCCUACAGACUGUACAGUGUGCUCCAGGUUCCCAGCUCUUGUGAGCUGUCACCAUGCUGGGGUGGCCUUUGGUGAUGCAGCUGUCUCUGAGUCAUGUCUGCUCUUGUUAAGCAAUCCCAAUAAAAUUCAUUGGUUCACUUACU